rnacentral:tRNA from 1 species
GGAGGUAUAGCUCAGUGGUAGAGCACUUGCCUACCAUGUGUGAGGCCCUGGCUUCUAUUCCCAGUACCACAC